rnacentral:rRNA from 1 species
AGUGAACGCUGGCGGUAGGCCUAACACAUGCAAGUCGAACGGCAGCACAGUAAGAGCUUGCUCUUACGGGUGGCGAGUGGCGGACGGGUGAGGAAUACAUCGGAAUCUACUUUUUCGUGGGGGAUAACGUAGGGAAACUUACGCUAAUACCGCAUACGACCUACGGGUGAAAGCAGGGGAUCUUCGGACCUUGCGCGAUUGAAUGAGCCGAUGUCGGAUUAGCUAGUUGGCGGGGUAAAGGCCCACCAAGGCGACGAUCCGUAGCUGGUCUGAGAGGAUGAUCAGCCACACUGGAACUGAGACACGGUCCAGGCCCCUACGGGAGGCAGCAGUGGGGAAUAUUGGACAAUGGGCGCAAGCCUGAUCCAGCCAUACCGCGUGGGUGAAGAAGGCCUUCGGGUUGUAAAGCCCUUUUGUUGGGAAAGAAAAGCAGCAGGUUAAUACCCCGCUGUUCUGACGGUACCCAAAGAAUAAGCACCGGCUAACUUCGU